rnacentral:rRNA from 1 species
UAGAGUUUGAUUCCAUGGCUCAGAUUGAACGCUGGCGGCAGGCCUAACACAUGCAAGUCGAGCGGGGUUUUCGGACCUAGCGGCGGACGGGUGAGUAAUGCGUAGGAAGCUACCCGAUAGAGGGGGAUACCAGUUGGAAACGACUGUUAAUACCGCAUAAUGUCUACGGACCAAAGUGUGGGACCUUCGGGCCACAUGCUAUCGGAUGCGCCUACGUGGGAUUAGCUAGUUGGUGAGGUAAUGGCUCACCAAGGCGACGAUCCCUAGCUGGUUUGAGAGGAUGAUCAGCCACACUGGAACUGAGACACGGUCCAGACUCCUACGGGAGGCAGCAGUGGGGAAUAUUGGACAAUGGGCGCAAGCCUGAUCCAGCCAUGCCGCGUGUGUGAAGAAGGCCUUCGGGUUGUAAAGCACUUUCAGUAGGGAGGAAGCGUUGUGUGUUAAUAGUACACAGCGU